rnacentral:tRNA from 1 species
GCCCUUAUCGUCUAGCGGUCAGGACGUCGGAUUCUCAUUCCGAAAACCGGGGUUCGAUUCCCCGUAGGGGUGCCA